CCUACGGGAGGCAGCAGUGGGGAAUAUUGGACAAUGGGGGGAACCCUGAUCCAGCCAUGCCGCGUGUGUGAAGAAGGCCCUCGGGUUGUAAAGCACUUUCAGUGAGGAAGAACGCCUGGUGGUUAAUACCCAUCAGGAAAGACAUCACUCACAGAAGAAGCACCGGCUAACUCCGUGCCAGCAGCCGCGGUAAUACGGAGGGUGCGAGCGUUAAUCGGAAUUACUGGGCGUAAAGCGCGCGUAGGUGGCUUGAUAAGCCGGUUGUGAAAGCCCCGGGCUCAACCUGGGAACGGCAUCCGGAACUGUCAAGCUAGAGUGCAGGAGAGGAAGGUAGAAUUCCCGGUGUAGCGGUGAAAUGCGUAGAGAUCGGGAGGAAUACCAGUGGCGAAGGCGGCCUUCUGGACUGACACUGACACUGAGGUGCGAAAGCGUGGGUAGCAAACAGGAAUAGAUACCCUGGUAGUC
rnacentral:rRNA from 1 species